UUCUACGUUCUGGUUUUUAAAGCCCUGGCUUGGAAAAAUUAAACAAACAAACAAACAAGUUUUCUGGUGAGAGCAAGACAUUCUGCCCUGUUUCUCCUGUGGAUCCCUUCAAACGGCAGAAACCAGAUGUGCUCCAGUAGGUUGACCACACGCCUAAACCCAUGAUAGUCAGGAUGUUGAAGGUCCCAUUACUUCUUCCCAUUAUAUGUGCCGCCAUCUUGAUGGAGGGAAGGAAAGAAAGCAAAUGGUAGAAUCCAAGGUGUUUCUACAGAAAUUUCAAGGUGACAGAGCUUCAAGAUCCAGAGGAAGGGAAAUCAGGCUCUUGAAGAGGUAUCUGACUCCUAUGUUCAUUGACGCAUUACUGACAAUGGCCAAGAAGAAAAACAAACUAGAUAUCCAUCAGAGAAUGAUGUAAAGAAGAUGUGAUGCCUACAUACAAUGGAACACUGCACUUUUGCUUCCCACUUACCUGGUGAUAUCUGGCUGGAUGCCACACAAUGUAAUUUUUCCUUGUUGCAUACUGAAUGAUUUUUAGUUGUAUAAACAUUUUUUGAGCUUU